ACUCAAAUGAAUAGACGGGGGCCCGCACAAGCGGUGGAGCAUGUGGUUUAAUUCGACGCAACGCGCAGAACCUUACCAGCCCUUGACAUGGGCGCCGCCGCCCGGUGAGAGCCGGGCUUCCCUUCGGGGGGCGUUCACAGGUGCUGCAUGGCUGUCGUCAGCUCGUGUCGUGAGAUGUUGGGUUAAGUCCCGCAACGAGCGCAACCCUUACCUCCCGUUGCCAACAGGUUGGGCUGGGCACUCUGGAGGGACCGCCGGUGACAAGCCGGAGGAAGGUGGGGAUGACGUCAAGUCCUCAUGGCCCUUAUGGGCUGGGCUACACACGUGCUACAAUGGCGGUGACAAUGGGCAGCGAAGCAGCGAUGCCGAGCUAAUCCCCAAAAGCCGUCUCAGUUCGGAUUGCAGGCUGCAACUCGCCUGCAUGAAGGUGGAAUCGCUAGUAAUCGCGGAUCAGCACGCCGCGGUGAAUACGUUCCCGGGCCUUGUACACACCGCCCGU
rnacentral:rRNA from 1 species